AUUGAACGCUGGCGGCAUGCCUUACACAUGCAAGUCGAACGGUAACAGGCCGCAAGGUGCUGACGAGUGGCGAACGGGUGAGUAAUACAUCGGAACGUGCCCGAUCGUGGGGGAUAACGCAGCGAAAGCUGUGCUAAUACCGCAUACGAUCUACGGAUGAAAGCGAGGGAUCGCAAGACCUCGCGCGGACGGAGCGGCCGAUGGCAGAUUAGGUAGUUGGUGGGGUAAAGGCCUACCAAGCCGACGAUCUGUAGCUGGUCUGAGAGGACGACCAGCCACACGGGGACUGAGACACGGCCCAGACUCCUACGGGAGGCAGCAGUGGGGAAUUUUGGACAAUGGGCGCAAGCCUGAUCCAGCCAUGCCGCGUGCAGGAUGAAGGCCUUCGGGUUGUAAACUGCUUUUGUACGGAACGAAAAGGUUUCUUUUAAUACAGGGAACUGAUGACGGUACCGUAAGAAUAAGCACCGGCUAACUACGUGCCAGCCGCCGCCGUAAAAC
rnacentral:rRNA from 1 species